CGGGUGGUAAUGCCGGAUGCUCCGACUCCUCGCAUGGGGUGUCGGGAAAGAUUUCAUCGGUAUGGGAUGGGGUCGCGUCCUAUCAGGUAGUCGGCGGGGUAACGGCCCACCGAGCCUACGACGGGUAGCCGGCCUGAGAGGGCGACCGGCCACAUUGGGACUGAGAUACGGCCCAGACUCCUACGGGAGGCAGCAGUGGGGAAUAUUGCACAAUGGGCGCAAGCCUGAUGCAGCGACGCCGCGUGCGGGAUGACGGCCUUCGGGUUGUAAACCGCUUUUGAUCGGGAGCAAGCCUUCGGGUGAGUGUACCUUUCGAAUAAGCACCGGCUAACUACGUGCCAGCAGCCGCGGUAAUACGUAGGGUGCAAGCGUUAUCCGGAAUUAUUGGGCGUAAAGGGCUCGUAGGCGGUUCGUCGCGUCCGGUGUGAAAGUCCAUCGCUUAACGGUGGAUCUGCGCCGGGUACGGGCGGGCUGGAGUGCGGUAGGGGAGACUGGAAUUCCCGGUGUAACGGUGGAAUGUGUAG
rnacentral:rRNA from 1 species